rnacentral:lncRNA from 1 species
UAGGUUUAUACCUUUGUAGUUAGGUGCCUAGUUCUCCUUCUAUCAUCAUACCCAUUUGUUCCUUUAUGACGAUACUAGAGAUCUUUGGUCCUUCUUAUACUUACAUUAUUUUUCUUUUCUCUUUUUUUUUAAGAAGUCUCUUUUUCCAUUUCUUGUUUCCUCAUAAUCCAACCCCAAACUUAAUACUUUUCUCACUUCCAAGAGUAACCCCAAACUUAAUCGUUAUCUUACACUAUUGGAACUAUAUUUCUACCUAACUCCAAAG